UCCAAUUCAUUCUCCGGUCGUCGUUCCUCCGUUAAUUUUUCUCAAUUCAGAGGUCUUAAGGUCCAACAGAGUCGGUCUCCAGUUUCACUCAGCUCAACUUCAAAUUCUGUUCGCCGUGGUGGACGAAUCGUCUGUGAAGCUCAGGAAACUGCUGUUCAAGGUGUUUCUCUCUUUCUUCUCGUCAAUUUCACUAAUUAAUGACGGAUAAUUGUUUCUAAUUGUGAUUCUCCAGGCCUAGAACAACUUUUUUGGCAGCUCAAUAAAAUUGGUGCCCUAAAGCCCAACCUUAAUAAGAUGCAUUAAAUAUGUUCAAUAAAAUUUGUACAUAUUGCUAUUGUUUGAACUUUUAGUGGAAGUUUUAUUCGGGUCAUUUUGCACACAUCUCGACCAUUCACCUGCUGUUCAAGUAACUAUACAUACCGAGGCUUGAGUAUUGUUUUAAGAAAUAUUCAAAGUUAAAAAUAAUGCUACCUGGAAUGAAAUUUUAGAUCUUUUUCUAAGUAAUAAUUUUAUAAAUUAUGUAUAACAUAUUUUGGGGUCUUCAAAUAUUGAUGCCCAAAGCAAAUUGCUUUAGUCGCCUUACCCUAUAGCCAGCACGGGUUAUACUCUCUCCUUCUUUAUGUGGUGGUUUUAGACUAGGCACUAAGUUUAAUAUGAAAAAAAAAAGACUUUUGAAAGUUGUGGUCUAAAACGAUUUGUAGACAUUUGAAUGACUAUAAAUCAUUUCAUUAAUGGUAAAAUGAAAAUUUUAAAGUUAAAUUAUUUUCAAAGAUAAAAAAUGUCAUUUUGUCUGGGACAAAAGAUGAGGGCGUGCCACAUAAAUUAGGACAAAUGAGUAUUUUUUCAUGUAAAAAUAUGUUGUACUUUGAGAAAUCAUUUUCUCCGUGAUAUUUCAGUUUUUGAUUGGGUAUAGAACUGGAUGAGCUAUGAUAAUUACGAUGUAGAAGAUAGAGGUAUGAUGAUAGUGAUUUGGUGAUAUUUUUUGCAUAUUCGAUGUUGACAAUUGAAGUAAAUGAUAUGGAGCAAGAGUUGGAACAUAUGUAAUGGAAAAUGACUCAACUUAGAAAGCAAUUUUUACCUUUUGGUGGACAAUGUUGAGAAUUAUUUUUAAAAAUAAGAUAACCAAAGACGGGAAAAAUGAUUUUAUCAAGAAAAAACACUUUAUGAGAAGCUAUACUUUGAGGUGGAAGAUAACGCAUGACGAUAGUGAUUUGAUGAUAUUUUUUGAGUAUUGAAUGUUGACAGUUGAAGUGAUAAUAAAGUUAUAAUAAUAUACAACAAUAACAACUAGGCCUUAGUCCCAAACAAGUUGAGGUCGGCAUCCUCACUGACCACGUGACUCCAUUAAAACUCAUCUUAUGCCAGUAUUAUGCAAAUACAAAUAAUAAAGUAUUAGAAGUUCUGUUGAAGUAAAUGAUAUUAUGUGGAAAGGAAAAUGACACAACUUAGACGCCAUUUUUCCCUUUUGGAGGAAAAAUUUCUUUUAUAAGACAACCACAGACUAAAGAAUGAUUCUAUCAAAGAAAACGGUUUGUAGGAAGCUAUACAAAACACAAUCUACAUUUAAAUAUCUGUAUAAACCAGUUCCAGACCAUUCAAAACUGCAUUAUUGAAGGGUAAAUCUGUCUGUUUAGGAACAGAAGUUGAGGCAAACUAGAAAUAUUUUUGUUUCCAAAACAUUUGUUCAAUAUUUAAGUGACUUAAGCAUCUCGUUCUAACUAAACUGAGAGCUUCCGCUGUAUUACUAAUCAGAUAUCGUUGGAAUUCUUUACAUUUAUUUUCUCGAGAUAAAUUUAUUUGGUAAUGUGUAUCUGAAUUAAUUUGGCUUUUCUUCUGGUUUACUUGUGCGCUUUCUGGGAGUUGGUUACUUGUUUUUGCUAUUUAGUUGAGUCAUGACUAGCUUCAUACAAUAAAUGAGCGUGAGCUAUUUCUUUUUUGGAUAUUGAGCUCGUCAUUGUCUUGUAAUCUCUGAUUUGAAGAUUGGGCAGAUAGCUGUUUCAAACAGUCAAAUCUGAAUUCAAAAGCCCAUUAACUAAGUAAAGUAAUAAUCUUUGAAAAAGGAUAAAAGAGGGAAAACUUAGAAGAAGAAAGAUUGGAUGUAUCUUUCUUUCACAACUUCACCCUACUUAUCUGGCUGCCAAGUGUAUUCUUUCCAACAUCCAGCUCCUUCCCAAACCUUUGGUCAUUGAGCCCUUCACCCCACCCCCGGCUUCGAGAACCGUCCUUGCAGCUGCAGCUUUCUUAACUCUGUCUUAUUUACAUUUCUUUUUGUUGUCUUUCUUUCCCAAGGGGAAAUAGGAAUGGUACGUUUGGACGCCAACAAUUUCAUAGCAGCAGCAAAAAUAGAAGUACCCAGUCAAGCCUAAGUUGUAUGUCAAAGACAUCUAAGGGGGGCUCUAUGAUAUUUUGCCUGGAAAUUUGCUAACCUUCAUUCAUUUAUACUCAUUAGCUUCUGAGGACUCAUGAUGAGGUAUGUUUGGAACAACAUAGAAGCUUGUAUUGUCUCAAGCUUAUGUGUCAACUUUCAAACGCCUAUUGAGUAAAAGCAUUCAUGCAAUAUGUUAUGUGUGCCUUUUCUUUGGCCUUGUGUUCAGACGUCGGAAAUGUGUGCUGUUGACUUUGUGGGGGGGCUUUGUUUUUCGGUGAAGUGGGAAGCAUUGCUUAUGCUUUUGUGCAAAUAAUACGCGCCAUUGCACUAGUAUCUAGAAUAAUCCGUAGUUGAAAAAAAUGAGAUUGGAUGUUGUAAAUUUUCUCUUAGGCCUAACUUAAUAAGAUAUUGACAUAUUCAAUGCAUCAGCUAUCUCCAGUUAAAUUUCAUAUUAUUUCUCAGUUUUAGGUUGCUCUAAUAUUAGCAUGAUUCAUAACAUGAUUUCUUCCUAAAAGCAUUGCUUCUGUCGCACUCCCAUCGUUUAUCAGUUUUUGUUUUUUUGUCUAACAUGGUUCAUGGAAAAUGCAGUGCCUGCUGUUACCGACAAAACAUGGAAAUCACUUGUAAUUGAGUCCGAUUUACCUGUCUUGGUCGAAUUUUGGGCUCCCUGGUGUGGUCCAUGCCGAAUGAUUCACCCC
rnacentral:lncRNA from 1 species